rnacentral:rRNA from 1 species
UACGUAGGUGGCAAGCGUUGUCCGGAUUUACUGGGCGUAAAGGAUGCGUAGGCGGAUGUUUAAGUGAGAUGUGAAAUACCCGAGCUCAACUUGGGUGCUGCAUUUCAAACUGGAUAUCUAGAGUGCAGGAGAGGAAAGCGGAAUUCCUAGUGUAGCGGUGAAAUGCGUAGAGAUUAGGAAGAACACCAGUGGCGAAGGCGGCUUUCUGGAC